rnacentral:rRNA from 1 species
AGUGAACGCUGGCGGUAGACCUAACACAUGCAAGUCGAACGGCAGCACAGUAAGAGCUUGCUCUUACGGGUGGCGAGUGGCGGACGGGUGAGGAAUACAUCGGAAUCUACUUUUUCGUGGGGGAUAACGUAGGGAAACUUACGCUAAUACCGCAUACGACCUACGGGUGAAAGCAGGGGAUCUUCGGACCUUGCGCGAUUGAAUGAGCCGAUGUCGGAUUAGCUAGUUGGCGGGGUAAAGGCCCACCAAGGCGACGAUCCGUAGCUGGUCUGAGAGGAUGAUCAGCCACACUGGAACUGAGACACGGUCCAGACUCCUACGGGAGGCAGCAGUGGGGAAUAUUGGACAAUGGGCGCAAGCCUGAUCCAGCCAUACCGCGUGGGUGAAGAAGGCCUUCGGGUUGUAAAGCCCUUUUGUUGGGAAAGAAAAGCAGCAGGUUAAUACCCCGCUGUUCUGACGGUACCCAAAGAAUAAGCACUGGCUAACUUCGUG